CAGCAUCCACUGAUAGACCUGAAGCUGCAAUCACCAUAGCUUCUGUGUUUGCACUCGGAUGCCAAAUCAACCUUCCUUAUACUUUCUCUUGACUGCCUUGUGGCAGUCUGGAUAGAUGAAAGGAGAACACCA